rnacentral:lncRNA from 1 species
GCGGCGGAGGGAGGGAGGAAAGGGCCGAUCUUGCCGUCGGAGACGCUGGCGUCGUUGGUGACGGAGGAUAAGAAGGAAGAGGAGGUGGUGGGGGUGGUGGAAAGAGUGAGGGUUUCGUCUUUGUUGCAGGGCUUAGAGUUGAGAAUGGUGGGUUUAACGAAAUCCAAAGUAAAGCCUGGUUGGGAUUGAGGUUGUGGUUGUGGUUGUGGUUGUGGCUCUGGUUGCGGCUGGGCCUGGGCCUGGGUCGGUGCACGGCGGAAGCGAGCGUGACCGGUGCGGUUGAGAAGGUUAAUGACUUGUUUGAACUUAGAGACGGUGAAGUCGGUGAUUUCGGAGCAGUCAAGGUUGUUAAGGCUAACGUUGUUGUUGCUGUUGUUAGAAGAAGAAGAAAAAGAAGAAGAGUUGCAGGCAGAGGGAGAAAGGAGUCGAAUG